rnacentral:rRNA from 1 species
CCUACGGGUGACAGCAGUGAGGAAUAUUUGUCAAUGGACGCAAGUCUGAACCAGCCAUGCCGCGUGCAGGAAGACGGCUCUAUGAGUGUUAAACUGCUUUUGUACGAGGGUAAAAGCACGUACGCGAAUCUGUCUGAAAGUAUCGUACGAAUAAAGAUCGGCUAACUACGUGCCAUCAGCCGCGGUAAUACGGAGGAUGCAAGCGUUAUCCGGAUUUAUUGGGUUUAAAGGGUGCGUAGGCGGUCGGAUAAGUUAGAGGUGAAAUCCCGAGGCUCAACUUGGGAAUUGCCUUUGAUACGGUUCGGCUAGAGAGCAGUAGCGGAAGGUGGAAUGUAUGGUGUAGCGGUGAAAUGCUUAGAGAUC